AUGACCUGGGCUCUUCUCCUCCUCAGCUUCCUCAGCCAGGGCCCAGGGACCUGGGCCCAGUCUGCUCUGACUCAACCUCUCUCAGUGUCUGGGACUGAGGGACAGACAGUCACCAUCUCCUGUACUGGGACCAGCAAUGACAUUGGGAAACAUAACUAUAUAUCCUGGUUCCAGCAGCAGGAUGGCACAGCCCCCAAAGAGCUGAUUUAUGAUGUAAAUAAGCGGCCAUCAGGGAUCCCUGAUCGCUUCUCUGGCUCCAAGUCUGGCAACACAGGGACCCUGACCAUCUCUGGGCUCAAGCCUGAGGAUGAGACAGAUUACUACUGUAUCUCAUAUACAAGUACUAACACUUUCCACAGUAGCUGCUGUACACAAGGAAGUGAGACAAAAACCUGUUCUCAACCUCCUCAGACUCGCACACUUCUGAAUUCAAGUUUUGUUGCUUUUAUCUUACUUAAAAAAUUUAGUUGUUAA